rnacentral:rRNA from 1 species
GACGAACGCUGGCGGUGUGCUUAACACAUGCAAGUCGAGCGGAGCGGCGAACGGGUGAGUAACGCGUGAGUAACUGCCCCCCUCCCUGGGAUAACAGUUGGAAACGGCUGCUAAUACCGGAUAGUGGGGGAUGACUCGCGUCCUAUCAGCUUGUUGGUGGGGUAGUGGCAUACCAAGGCGACGACGGGUAGCCGGCCUGGGAGGGGGACCGGCCACAUGAGUCUGAGGGACGGCCCAGACUCCUACGGGGGGCAGCAGGGGGGAAUAUUACACAAUGGGGGAAACCCUGAUGCAGCAACGCGCGUGCGGGAUGACGGCCUUCGGGGUGUAAACCGCUUUCAGCCAUGACGCGGUAGUGGCAGAAGAAGCACCGGCUAACUACGUGCCAGCAGCCGCGGUAAUUC